UACGGAGGGUGCGAGCGUUAUCCGGAAUUACUGGGUUUAAAGGGUGCGUAGGCGGCUAUGUAAGUCAGCUAGUGAAAGUUUGCGGCUCAACCGUAAAAUUGCUUUUGAUACUGCAUGGCUAGAAUUAGGAUGAGGUUAGCGGAAUGUGGCAUGUAGCGGUGAAAUGCAUAGAUAUGCCAUAGAACACCAAUUGCGAAGGCAGCUGGCUAGACCUGUAUUGACGCUGAGGCACGAAAGCGUGGGGAUCGAACAGG
rnacentral:rRNA from 1 species